GACGGACGCUGGCGGCGUGCUUAACACAUGCAAGUCGAACGGUAAGGCUCCAGCUUGCUGGGGUACACGAGUGGCGAACGGGUGAGUAACACGUGGGUGACCUGCCCUGCACUUCGGGAUAAGCCUGGGAAACUGGGUCUAAUACCGGAUAGGACCGCACCGUGAGGGUGUGGUGGAAAGUUUUUUCGGUGUGGGAUGGGCCCGCGGCCUAUCAGCUUGUUGGUGGGGUAAUGGCCUACCAAGGCGGCGACGGGUAGCCGGCCUGAGAGGGUGGACGGCCACAUUGGGACUGAGACACGGCCCAGACUCCUACGGGAGGCAGCAGUGGGGAAUAUUGCACAAUGGGCGGAAGCCUGAUGCAGCGACGCCGCGUGGGGGAUGACGGCCUUCGGGUUGUAAACUCCUUUCACCAUCGACGAAGGGUUUCUGACGGUAGAUGGAGAAGAAGCACCGGCUAACUACGUG
rnacentral:rRNA from 1 species